AUGAACGCUGGCGGCGUGCCUCAUACCUGCAAGUCGCGCGAACGGACGAGAAGCUUGCUUUUCUGAUGUUAGCGGCGGACGGGUGAGUAACACGUGGAUAACCUACCUAUAAGACUGGGAUAACUUCGGGAAACCGGAGCUAAUACCGGAUAAUAUUUUGAACCGCAUGGUUCAAAAGUGAAAGACGGUCUUGCUGUCACUUAUAGAUGGAUCCGCGCUGCAUUAGCUAGUUGGUAAGGUAACGGCUUACCAAGGCAACGAUGCAUAGCCGACCUGAGAGGGUGAUCGGCCACACUGGAACUGAGACACGGUCCAGACUCCUACGGGAGGCAGCAGUAGGGAAUCUUCCGCAAUGGGCGAAAGCCUGACGGAGCAACGCCGCGUGAGUGAUGAAGGUCUUCGGAUCGUAAAACUCUGUUAUUAGGGAAGAACAUAUGUGUAAGUAACUGUGCACAUCUUGACGGUACCUAAUCAGAAAGCCACGGCUAACUACGUG
rnacentral:rRNA from 1 species